AUGUGUGUGUAUAUGUGUGUGUAUGUGUAUAUGCACAGAAGUGUGUAAACACACACACACACACACACACACACACAGAAAUAAAUCUCA
rnacentral:miRNA from 1 species